rnacentral:rRNA from 1 species
AUUGCCCUAGUAACGGCGAGUGAAGCGGCAACAGCUCAAAUUUGAAAUCUGGCGUCUCCGGCGUCCGAGUUGUAAUUUGUAGAGGAUGCUUCUGGGCAGCCACCGGUCUAAGUUCCUUGGAACAGGACGUCAUAGAGGGUGAGAAUCCCGUAUGCGACCGGAAGGGCACCCUCCACGUAGCUCCUUCGACGAGUCGAGUUGUUUGGGAAUGCAGCUCUAAAUGGGAGGUAAAUUUCUUCUAAAGCUAAAUACCGGCCAGAGACCGAUAGCGCACAAGUAGAGUGAUCGAAAGAUGAAAAGCACUUUGGAAAGAGAGUUAAAAAGCACGUGAAAUUGUUGAAAGGGAAGCGCUUGCAACCAGACUUGCUGGCGGUGUUCCGCCGGUCUUCUGACCGGUUCAUUCGCCGUCUGCAGGCCAGCAUCAUCUGGGGCCGCCGGAUAAAAACGGUGGGAAUGUGGCUCCCUCGGGAGUGUUAUAGCCCUCCGUGUAAUACGGCGUGCCUCGGGUGAGGUCCGCGCUUCGGCUUGGAUGCUGGCAUAAUGGUUGUAAGCGGCCCGUCUUGAAACACGGACCAAGGAGUCUAACAUCUAUGCGAGUGUUCGGGUGUCAAACCCCUACGCGUAAUGAAAGUGAACGGAGGUGGGAACUUUUUGUGCACCAUCGACCGAUCCUGAUGUCUUCGGAUGGAUUUGAGUAAGAGCAUAGCUGUUGGGACCCGAAAGAUGGUGAACUAUGCCUGAAUAGGGUGAAGCCAGAGGAAACUCUGGUGGAGGCUCGCAGCGGUUCUGACGUGCAAAUCGAUCGUCAAAUUUGGGUAUAGGGGCGAAAGACUAAUCGAACCAUUAACAAACCCGACGCUAUCACUGCGUGACAGGGAGAUGUUGCCAGCAACAUACUAGGUGGUUAAGAGGGACGUAAAAGGCGAGCCCUAGUCGCGGUUAUCGGUGAUUCCGAGUGUACGCGGCGACACUGUCAAAUUGCGGGGACUUCCUGAGAGCCAGUGCUACUAAGCGGCAUCCCGAAAGGGGGCUGUGGCCGGGGUAAUGACCUAGGGUAUAGUAACAACGCACUGGAUUGGAUAAUCCGCAGCCAAGUCCUAAACUCAACGUCUUUGUGUAAAAGCAAAGGGGUAGUAUGGAUGCAGUUCAACGACUAGAAGGCAGUGGGUCGCAUUGUUUCUACAUUGAAUCAAUCGCGGCUUAAGAUAUAGUCUAGUCCUUACUCGAAAGGGUAGGGUGGAGGAACCGUAAUGUCUCUCCCUGAGAGAUC